ACGACCUCAACUCAGCAAGACUACCCGCUGAACUUAAGCAUAU
rnacentral:rRNA from 1 species